CGACACCAGUUCAUCAGUCAGAUGCUGCCUGGGGCUCAACAGUCCAUCUUUCUGGAAGAAUGAAUGAGUAUAGCUGAGCACGUACCCCCACAGAUAAACACAUGUAUUAUGUGCAGUACCAGCAUCGUUCUGGUACCUUCUGAAAGAUGGACUUCUGGAACUCCUCCCUCCCAAUCCUCCUAAAAACACGGGAUCCCUCGCUAGCUCACGGUGUCCCUGUGCUGGAGCUGGGCUUCUCCAGGAACACUGAGUCACAAGAGACAACAGUCAGCAUGUGGGGAAAGGGUGCCAGGAGCAGAGCAGCCAAGGGCAGGUGCCACACGCUGAUUGGUAAAGCACGACAGAAGUGUCUGCCUGCACGAAGCUGAACUGCACACACAAAGGAUUUCAAGGAGAACAGUGAGACGGGAUGCUGUCUUAUCUGCUCAACAGUACCAUCAGAGCUCUCCCAUUCCCGGAGUCUUCAUUCAUUUACCCC
rnacentral:lncRNA from 1 species